rnacentral:rRNA from 1 species
GACGAACGCUGGCGGCGUGCUUAUCACAUGCAAGUCGAACGAUGAACCCGGAGCUUGCUCCGGCGGAUUAGUGGCGAACGGGUGAGUAACACGUGAGUAACCUGCCCUUGACUCUGGGAUAACUGCUAGAAAUGGUAGCUAAUACCGGAUACGACCCUCGGUGGCAUCACCAGGGGGUGGAAAGAAUUUCGGUCAAGGAUGGACUCGCGGCCUAUCAGCUAGUUGGUGAGGUAACGGCUCACCAAGGCGACGAGGGGUAGCCGGCCUGAGAGGGUGACCGGCCACACUGGGACUGAGACACGGCCCAGACUCCUACGGGAGGCAGCAGUGGGGAAUAUUGCACAAUGGGCGCAAGCCUGAUGCAGCAGCGCCGCGUGAGGGAUGACGGCCUUCGGGUUGUAAACCUCUUUUAGUAGGGAAGAAGCGAAAGUGACGGUACCUGCAGAAAAAGCACCGGCUAACUACGUGCCAGCCGCCGCCGUAA